AUUGAACGCUGGCGGCAGGCCUAACACAUGCAAGUCGAACGGCAGCACAGAAGAGCUUGCUCUUUGGGUGGCGAGUGGCGGACGGGUGAGUAAUGUCUGGGAAACUGCCCGAUGGAGGGGGAUAACUACUGGAAACGGUAGCUAAUACCGCAUAACGUCGCGAGACCAAAGUGGGGGACCUUCGGGCCUCACACCAUCGGAUGUGCCCAGAUGGGAUUAGCUAGUAGGUGGGGUAAUGGCUCACCUAGGCGACGAUCCCUAGCUGGUCUGCGAGAAGGACCAGCCACAGUGGAACUGAGAAACGGUCCAGACUCCGACGGGAGGCAGCAGUGGGGAAUAGUGGACAAUGGGCGCAAGCCUGAUGCAGCCAUGCCGCGUGUAUGAAGAAGGGCUUCGGGUUGUAAGGUACUUUCAGCGGGGAGGAAGGCGGUGAGGUUAAUAACCUCGCCGAUUGACGUUACCCGCAGAAGAAGCACCGGCUAACUCCGUGCCAGCCGCCGCGGUAA
rnacentral:rRNA from 1 species